GGUUAAGUUAGAAAGGGCGCACGGUGGAUGCCUUGACACUAGGAGUCGAUGAAGGACGGGACUAACGCCGAUAUGCUUCGGGGAGCUGUAAGUAAGCUUUGAUCCGAAGAUUUCCGAAUGGGGAAACCCACCAUACGUAAUGGUAUGGUAUCCUUAUCUGAAUACAUAGGGUAAGGAAGACAGACCCAGGGAACUGAAACAUCUAAGUACCUGGAGGAAGAGAAAGCAAAUGCGAUUUCCUGAGUAGCGGCGAGCGAAACGGAACAUAGCCCAAACCAAGAGGCUUUGCUCUUGGGGUUGUAGGACAUUCUAUACGGAGUUACAAAGGAACGAGGUAGACGAAGCGACCUGGAAAGGUCCGUCGUAGAGGGUAACAACCCCGUAGUCGAAACUUCGUUCUCUCUUGAAUGUAUCCUGAGUACGGCGGAACACGUGAAAUUCCGUCGGAAUCUGGGAGGACCAUCUCCCAAGGCUAAAUACUCCCUAGUGAUCGAUAGUGAACCAGUACCGUGAGGGAAAGGUGAAAAGCACCCCGGAAGGGGAGUGAAAGAGAUCCUGAAACCGUGUGCCUACAAAUAGUCAGAGCCCGUUAACGGGUGAUGGCGUGCCUUUUGUAGAAUGAACCGGCGAGUUACGAUCCCGUGCGAGGUUAAGCUGAAGAGGCGGAGCCGCAGCGAAAGCGAGUCUGAAUAGGGCGUUUAGUACGUGGUCGUAGACCCGAAACCAGGUGAUCUACCCAUGUCCAGGGUGAAGUUCAGGUAACACUGAAUGGAGGCCCGAACCCACGCACGUUGAAAAGUGCGGGGAUGAGGUGUGGGUAGCGGAGAAAUUCCAAUCGAACCUGGAGAUAGCUGGUUCUCCCCGAAAUAGCUUUAGGGCUAGCCUUAAGUGUAAGAGUCUUGGAGGUAGAGCACUGAUUGGACUAGGGGUCCUCAUCGGAUUACCGAAUUCAGUCAAACUCCGAAUGCCAAUGACUUAUCCUUAGGAGUCAGACUGCGAGUGAUAAGAUCCGUAGUCAAAAGGGAAACAGCCCAGACCGCCAGCUAAGGUCCCAAAGUGUGUAUUAAGUGGAAAAGGAUGUGGAGUUGCUUAGACAACUAGGAUGUUGGCUUAGAAGCAGCCACCAUUUAAAGAGUGCGUAAUAGCUCACUAGUCGAGUGACUCUGCGCCGAAAAUGUACCGGGGCUAAAUACACCACCGAAGCUGCGGAUUGAUACCAAUGGUAUCAGUGGUAGGGGAGCGUUCUAAGGACAGUGAAGUCAGACCGGAAGGACUGGUGGAGUGCUUAGAAGUGAGAAUGCCGGUAUGAGUAGCGAAAGACGGGUGAGAAUCCCGUCCACCGAAUGCCUAAGGUUUCCUGAGGAAGGCUCGUCCGCUCAGGGUUAGUCAGGACCUAAGCCGAGGCCGACAGGCGUAGGCGAUGGACAACAGGUUGAUAUUCCUGUACCACCUCUUUAUCGUUUGAGCAAUGGAGGGACGCAGAAGGAUAGAAGAAGCGUGCGAUUGGUUGUGCACGUCCAAGCAGUUAGGCUGAUAAGUAGGCAAAUCCGCUUAUCGUGAAGGCUGAGCUGUGAUGGGGAAGCUCCUUAUGGAGCGAAGUCUUUGAUUCCCCGCUGCCAAGAAAAGCUUCUAGCGAGAUAAAAGGUGCCUGUACCGCAAACCGACACAGGUAGGCGAGGAGAGAAUCCUAAGGUGUGCGAGAGAACUCUGGUUAAGGAACUCGGCAAAAUGACCCCGUAACUUCGGGAGAAGGGGUGCUUUCUUAACGGAAAGCCGCAGUGAAUAGGCCCAAGCGACUGUUUAGCAAAACACAGCUCUCUGCGAAGCCGUAAGGCGAAGUAUAGGGGGUGACACCUGCCCGGUGCUGGAAGGUUAAGGAGAGGGGUUAGCGUAAGCGAAGCUCUGAACUGAAGCCCCAGUAAACGGCGGCCGUAACUAUAACGGUCCUAAGGUAGCGAAAUUCCUUGUCGGGUAAGUUCCGACCCGCACGAAAGGUGUAACGAUUUGGGCACUGUCUCAACCAGAGACUCGGUGAAAUUAUAGUACCUGUGAAGAUGCAGGUUACCCGCGACAGGACGGAAAGACCCCGUGGAGCUUUACUGUAGCCUGAUAUUGAAUUUUGGUACAGUUUGUACAGGAUAGGCGGGAGCCUUUGAAACCGGAGCGCUAGCUUCGGUGGAGGGCUGGUGGGAUACCGCCCUGACUGUAUUGAAAUUCUAACCUACGGGUCUUAUCGACCCGGGAGACAGUGUCAGGUGGGCAGUUUGACUGGGGCGGUCGCCUCCUAAAGUGUAACGGAGGCGCCCAAAGGUUCCCUCAGAAUGGUUGGAAAUCAUUCGUAGAGUGCAAAGGCAUAAGGGAGCUUGACUGCGAGACCUACAAGUCGAGCAGGGACGAAAGUCGGGCUUAGUGAUCCGGUGGUUCCGCAUGGAAGGGCCAUCGCUCAACGGAUAAAAGCUACCCCGGGGAUAACAGGCUUAUCUCCCCCAAGAGUCCACAUCGACGGGGAGGUUUGGCACCUCGAUGUCGGCUCAUCGCAUCCUGGGGCUGUAGUCGGUCCCAAGGGUUGGGCUGUUCGCCCAUUAAAGCGGUACGCGAGCUGGGUUCAGAACGUCGUGAGACAGUUCGGUCCCUAUCCGUCGUGGGCGUAGGAAAUUUGAGAGGAGCUGUCCUUAGUACGAGAGGACCGGGAUGGACGCACCGCUGGUGUACCAGUUGUUCUGCCAAGGGCAUAGCUGGGUAGCUAUGUGCGGAAGGGAUAAGUGCUGAAAGCAUCUAAGCAUGAAGCCCCCCUCAAGAUGAGAUUUCCCAUAGCGUAAGCUAGUAAGAUCCCUGAAAGAUGAUCAGGUUGAUAGGUUCGAGGUGGAAGCAUGGUGACAUGUGGAGCUGACGAAUACUAAUAGAUCGAGGACUUAACCAU
rnacentral:rRNA from 1 species